UACAGAGGGUGCGAGCGGUAAUCGGAAUUACUGGGCGUAAAGCGCACGUAGUCGGCUUUGCAAGUCGGGUGUGAAAUCCCCGGGCUCAACCUGGGAACUGCAUCCGAGACUGCAUUGCUAGAGUAUGGGAGAGGGAAGCGGAAUUUCUGGUGUAGCAGUGAAAUGCGUAGAUAUCAGAAGGAACAUCAGUGGCGAAGGCGGCUUCCUGGACCAAUACUGACGAUCAGGUGCGAAAGCGUGGGGAGCAAACAGG
rnacentral:rRNA from 1 species